CUCUCUCUCUCUCUCUCUCAACUUCAUCUGCAAGCUGUUGAAGGUAUGUGCUUGACCCACUCCGGAAAUGUUCAGUUGGGUGUCAUUGCUUGUCUUCAACUCUACAAGCUUUUCUGUUCCCAAAUAGAGAAAAAUGCAACUUAAAGUUACCUUCUUGAAUGAUUUUUCCAAAUGUAAAUUUAAUUUUCUCAAUUGGGUGGUUAUUUAAUUUGUUUGUUUUGGAAGAAAUCUGUCACAGCCCUUUCUAGUUUUUGUAAAAUUGUAUUGUAAUAGCAUGGUUCAGAUUUGCAGAUUUUUUAUGGAAGCCCCCUAUUAACAAACUAUUUUCUUGAGUAGUUUACUGCUCUCUUACAGGCAUGGAGAGAACAGGAGAAAGGGUUGUACUCUCUAUUUUUGAGACUGUAAGCUUAUAGGAUAUUCAGAAAGAAAAGUUGCCUUUGAAAGACAUUACAAUGCCAGUUCCUCUUGCUCCUUAUCCAACGCCUCCAGCACCUUACACUCAACCUGCCAAUGGUGCACAGAGCCAGCUUGUUUGUUCUGGAUGUCGAAAUCUUUUACUCUACCCAGUUGGAGCAACCUCUGUGUGCUGCGCCGUAUGCAAUGCAGUCACAGCUGUGCCACCUCCAGGUACAGAAAUGGCACAGUUGGUUUGUGGAGGCUGCCACACCUUACUCAUGUACAUUCGUGGAGCAACUAGUGUACAAUGUUCUUGUUGUCACACCAUCAAUCUAGCGUUGGAAGGUACUUUUCCAAAAAAUAAAUAAAUAAAAUAGAAGAUAUGUAAGAUGUUGAAUUUAUGAUGGCAUUAAGACAAUUAUAAGAACAAUCGAGUUUCAACCAUUGUAGUAUAUAUCUAUUACCUGCAAAAUUUGGAUAAAUUGCAUUACUGCCUGAUGGAAAUAAGGUUCAAUAUGUAUAUUAUGACAGCGAAUCAAGUGGCACACGUCAAUUGUGGGAACUGCAGAAUGCUAUUGAUGUACCAAUACGGGGCACGAUCAGUGAAAUGUGCUGUUUGCAAUUUUGUGACAUCAGUUGGGGCAAGUAUAUUAUCACUUUAGCUUAUGUUAAUGAUCUAGUGAAUUUCUGUCUAGUUAGACCACACUGUCUCUCAAAGUGUAGAUUUUUAGAUAAUAAUAAUAAUGGGGGGUAAGCCUUAAUUAGAAGUUCAAAGUUGUUGAAGAUCUGGUUGUGGAUAACGAUCAUAGAUGUUUAGGCUCAUAAAACCCCUGAACCACAGAUGGAUUAGAAGGCAACUGAAAUAUGGAUUAGCAAGCUUGAAAACAUGUAACAUUUCACCCCUAUUCUCCUCCAUUUGUUUAACCCUAUACACUCUUAUCUUGUCCUGCUGUGGCAAAAAUGUCUCCAAAUUUCUUUGAAAUCCCUAUAAAGCUUUUGAAAUUUAAUGUAUUGAUAUUCAUAAAGCAAUUAUUUGAAGUGCAUUUGUGAGUAGAUGACUUCAGCUCCUCAAUUCUGUUUUUCUCUUCUUAUUUUUCAGGGGUAGGGCAAGAUAGAUCAUGUCAUAUAAAACUUUUUUUCCCCUGUUUUGCAUCCUUUUAAGCCUUUCAAGUUUCUGUAUUGAUUUUUGUUCAUAAUAAGUUAUUGACUAUUACAUGAACAAUACGUAGAGUUUAAAUUGAUAGUGUUCUCGAAAUUUCCUGGCAACAUAUUAGUAAAAAGGAUUGCAGAAAUCUGCAUAUUGCUCUCUAAUUUUCUUGGCUAUCUUUUGCCAUAAGAUAAACAUAUAUAACAACAGCUAGAGUCAUUAGAACCAUCCUUUCUGUGUUUCCAUUGACGUAAUGUGGUGUAACCCAAUGACGCAGGCAUCAACAAGCACUACUGAACAGAAGUUCAACAUCUGAUGUUAAUUAUUACAAGCCUAAGUUGGUGAUUACCGAUUCUACAACUUCAGUUUUGCAUAUUAUUGCAGUAUUUCCACCGACUGUAUCUGUAGGCGAAGCAGAGGAAAUUACCUACCUUAGUUCACAUGUAUAGAGUUAAAUUUUCCCCCCUUUGCGUGAUCCUUUUAUCAUCAUGAAUAAGAAGUUUUUCCAUAUUAAAUGUAUGUGAAGCAUUAUUCUGUGAAGAGACUUGCAGGUUGUGCUUGUGAGUGCAUUCUGGAAAUUGUUUUUGGAUAAUGAUGCUGAUAAUUCAUUUUCUUUUUACUUUGGCAUGGGUGUGAGGUAAGCAUCAAGAUUGAAGUACACGGGAAAAAGUUAUUGAAGAUGCUUUCUUGCUUUUUCUUAGAAUUGACUUAAAAUACAAACAGGGAACAACUGCUUGAAAGUCAUUUGUACUAGAUGAAUUUGAUGGAUGAGUAUAGCAAUUAACAUAGGGGACCAAGGAGAUAUUUUAGCAAGGAAACAUGAAUAUGAGUAUUCUGAAAAGCUCAAUUUUGAUUUGUGAAUUUAUAGCCGACAGGAUUAGCAUAGAGGUUUUUGUAACUGAGUGGA
rnacentral:misc_RNA from 1 species